GGUGCGAAACAAUACAUUUGUCAACUUUUCUGUAUUGGAAUGAUAAAUAGGAAUGGAUGUUUGUAAAUGUUUAAUAAAACGCUUGUUGUUAAUUAUAACUUUAACCUUGACGGACUGGAAGAAACGGCUUUCGCCAAAGUCCACAUCUCUUUUCUUCUUGCUUAAAAAGCAAGAUUGAUACAGAUACAGAAAUGAUAAGUGAGCAGUAUUUGAGACAAGUUAAAAGAAGUACCAGCAGCAAAAUUCUUCGCCAUCUGUGUACCGUGAAAUCUGGGAAUUAUGUUAAUAAAUCUAAAUAAUCUAAAACUAGCUAACAUAUAAUUAAUCUAAAGUGGCUAACAAAUCUAAAUAAUCGAAACAUCAUGUAAACAAGGGGCACCCAAUUGCAAACUUUUACCAAGCAUAUUUCUAUGAAACGUAACAAGUGGAUUUUUAUUAAACUGUUUCCAGAAAUCAAGCCUUGCUUAUGUAGCACAUUAGCGUUCUUCUAAUGGCAGGAUUAAGCUUAUCCUAAAAUUAUUCUGAAGGCUCGUUUGCAUUAUAAAAUUCUGAAUCAGAGAAAUACAUAUGAAAUUGAUGAUUGCUUUUGAAUCGGAAUUUGAUUAAUCUGAUAUAAACUUGGGAAAUAAAAUGCUUGAAUUCUGAAUAUGUGAGAUGAAAAGUUUGACCAGUCAAAGAUAUGGAAGUUAUCAAGAGGCAAUUUGUUGAUGCUGCAUGCUGAGCAACAUUGUGCAAAUGUCAGUUGCAAUAAAUAAUUUUAUCAAUAAUUUAAAUGUUGCAAAUCAUCUUUCUUUAUAAAAUGAAAAAUAAAAAUGUUCUCAAAGCUAAAA
rnacentral:misc_RNA from 1 species